UUAUUAUGAGAGUUUGAUCCUGGCUCAGGACGAACGCUGGCGGCGUGCCUAAUACAUGCAAGUCGAACGCUUCUUUCCUCCCGAGUGCUUGCACUCAAUUGGAAAGAGGAGUGGCGGACGGGUGAGUAACACGUGGGUAACCUACCCAUCAGAGGGGGAUAACACUUGGAAACAGGUGCUAAUACCGCAUAACAGUUUAUGCCGCAUGGCAUAAGAGUGAAAGGCGCUUUCGGGUGUCGCUGAUGGAUGGACCCGCGGUGCAUUAGCUAGUUGGUGAGGUAACGGCUCACCAAGGCCACGAUGCAUAGCCGACCUGAGAGGGUGAUCGGCCACACUGGGACUGAGACACGGCCCAGACUCCUACGGGAGGCAGCAGUAGGGAAUCUUCGGCAAUGGACGAAAGUCUGACCGAGCAACGCCGCGU
rnacentral:rRNA from 1 species